AUUGAACGCUGGCGGCAUGCCUUACACAUGCAAGUCGAACGGCAGCACGGGCGCAAUCCUGGUGGCGAGUGGCGAACGGGGGAGUAAUAGAUCGGAACGCGCCCAGUCGUGGGGGAUAACGUAGCGAAAGCUACGCUACUACCUCAUACGAUCUAUGGAUGAAAGCGGGGGAUCGCAAGACCGCGCGCGAUUGGAGCGGCCGAUAUCAGAUUAGGAAGUUGGUGAGGUAAAGGCGCACCAAGCCGACGAUCUGUAGCUGGUCUGAGAGGACGACCAGCCACACUGGGACUGAGACACGGCCCAGACUCCUACGGGAGGCAGCAGUGGGGAAUUUUGGACAAUGGGCGCAAGCCUGAUCCAGCAAUGCCGCGUGCAGGAUGAAGGCCUUCGGGUUGUAAACUGCUUUUGUACGGAACGAAACGGCGAGCUCUAAUACAGUUUGCUAAUGACGGUACCGUAAGAAUAAGCACCGGCUAACUACGUGCCAGCCGCCGCCGUAA
rnacentral:rRNA from 1 species